CUGUGUUAUGAAAGAAAGACUCUAAACAUCUUUUCUGAGAGUUUAAUCUUAGUGUCUGGAAGCAAUGAAGCACUGUUUCUGUUGAAGAACCUGUAGGACACCAGAUAAAUUUGUAAAUGUCACUUAAAGAUUAAAAACAACUCUGGAAUUCAAACUUCUAGCUGACAGUGUAAAGUGCCUGGUAAAUGAUUAGUAAUAAUGUCUCUGGAGAACACACGAAGUGUGUCAGUGCACCAACUUGGAACAAGAUUUCCAGGACAAGAAAAAGCAUCAGCCACACAUGUCCAGCUGUCAGAUCUCCUUCAUCAAGGAAUAUUUGCGAGACUCAUAAAAGCAUCCGAAGAGAGAGAGAGUCGGUCGUUCUAUCCUCUGAGCAAGGAAAGAGAAGCUUGUGCAUGGCCGGUGCAUGUUCCAGAGGAAGAAAGGCAGUGGGUGAGAGGGACACUUUGGGCCAGGCAACCAGUCCCAGGAGCACCCAGAACUGCAGCCCCGCCCCGUGGCCUGCGUCUAGGCCUCUGCCAGAUCUCCUGGGCCUCUCUGCAAAGAGCUCAAGCACUGCUGGUUUCCACAGCUUUCGAACUCAGCCCGAAGCUUCCUCGGCUACACUGAGGCCGUGA
rnacentral:lncRNA from 1 species